GUAACUGCACUGUGUUUUAAACAUUUUUGAAGUGUACAAUAAUUUGUAUAUCACAAUUAGAAGUAAUUCUCUUUUUCUUGUUUUCCUCCAGAAUACAGAAGAAUAAAGGUAGAAUAUAUCUCAUGAUACCAAGCUACUGUGUUAUACGCAGACACUGUGGGCUCCAGCACUCAUCUUUCCAGGCUCUAUCAACAAAGUGAUGAAGUCUGGACUAGGGGAGACAAUACUCUCAGUCCCUCCAGCUGCCAUUUUUUUCUUGUAUGGAGCAGGAACAUAUUCUUCACAUAUGAGCAUCUCCAAGGCCAAGCAAGAGUGAGGGAUUGUUCAGGUGCACUUGGUACUAAAAUUUCAGAAAUGAGAUCAUCCUGGUUGUGGUUACAAUGCUGCAGGGACAUCAGGCCCAUCAGCUUUGUGGGCUGGGUUUAGCACGUUGGUGCAGAAGUCUGAGAAAGGGGCGAAUACAGCACAGGGACCCUUGCAGACGUGCCCGAGGCUCACUGAUGAAACACAGCAAAUGAAGCAUUUCCUGAAGAGGCAGGUAUUGGCAUUCCACUUAUUAAUGUUACUUAACCCUGAUGGUUCUCACUGCCUUCGUUUGCUGCACAUGGCGGGUUAACAAGAUUGUAUGUCACGCUGUUAUGCUAAAUAGUGGUGCCGUGGGGCUAACUCGUUGACGUCUGCCUUUCUCAGUGAGCUGGCCAUGAUGCCACCAUAUGGGAUUCCUGUCCAGACAGCCAAAGGCAGCCUGAGCUGAUCAGCAUGCCAGCAAAUCCCUCUGGUGAUAUUUGGUCUUCCCGAGCCCAAAUCUUUUUGGGCUGAUUUCUCUGUCUGUCACCACGAAGGACAGAUAUUGCUGUGAGAACAGAUUGAUCAAGUGAUAGAAAAUUUCUGGAAGGUGCUUUUUUAACUCGAUACCAAAAAUUAGCAAGGAUGCACGUUUAUUUCUCAGUCGUAAUGCCCGUAUCUGAAC
rnacentral:lncRNA from 1 species